UUUGCAUACUGCUCAGUAACACGUGGAUAACCUGCCCUGUGCUGGGGGAUAAUCUCGGGAAACUGAGCAUAAUACCCCAUAGGUCACAACGCCUGGAACGGUGUGUGGCUGAAAGCUCCGGCGGCACAGGAUGGGUCUGCGGCGUAUCAGGUAGUAGGGGGUGUAAUGGACCCCCUAGCCUUCAACGCGUACGGGUUGUGGGAGCAAUAGCCCGGAGACGGAUUCUGAGACACGAAUCCGGACCCUACGGGGUGCAGCAGGCGCGAAAACUUCACACUGCAGGCAACUGUGAUGAGGGAACUCCAAGUGACUGCACAAUGUGUAGCCUUUUCUUGACUGUUAACAAGUCUUGGAAUAAGGGCUGGGAAAGACCGGUGCCAGCCGCUGCGGUAAUACCGGCAGCUCAAGUGGUCGUCGUUUUUAUUGGGCCUAAAACGUCCGUAGCCUGUUCAGUAAACCCGUGGGUAAAUCAACCAGCUUAACUGGUUGAAUUCUGCGGAGACUGCUGGACUAGGGACCGGGAGAGGUAUGAGGUACUCUCAGGGUAGGGGUAAAAUCCUGUCAUCCUGAGAGGACCACCUGUUGCGAAGGCGUCAUACUGGAACGGAUCCGACGGUCAGGGACGAAGCCUAGGGGCACGAACCGGAUUAGAUACCCGGGUAGUCCUAGGUGUAAACGCUGUGGACUUGGUGUUGGAGAUCCAUCAUGGGUCUUCAGUGCCGCAGCGAAGGUGUUAAGUCCACUGCCUGGGGAGUACGGUCGCAAGGCUGAAACUUAAAGGAAUUGGCGGGGGAGCACUGCAACGGGAGGAGCGUGCGGUUUAAUU
rnacentral:rRNA from 1 species